rnacentral:rRNA from 1 species
AUUGAACGCUGGCGGCAGGCUUAACACAUGCAAGUCGAGCGAGCGGCGGACGGGUGAGUAAUGUCUGGGAAACUGCCUGAUGGAGGGGGAUAACUACUGGAAACGGUAGCUAAUACCGCAUACCAUCAGAUGUGCCCAGAUGGGAUUAGCUAGUAGGUGGGGUAAAGGCUCACCUAGGCGACGAUCCCUAGCUGGUCUGAGAGGAUGACCCGCCACAUUGGAGCUUAGACACGUUCUAGAGUCCUACUGGAGGCAGCUGUGGGGAAUAUUGCACGAGGGGCGCAAGCCUGAUUCAGCCAGGCCGCGUGUAUGAAUAAGGCCUUCGGGGUGUAAAGUACUUUCAGCGGGGAGGCGUUACCCGCAGAAGAACUACCGGCUAACUCCGUGUCAGCAGCCGCGGGAAUAC